rnacentral:rRNA from 1 species
CUACGGGCGGCUGCAGGUGCGAAAAUUUUCCAAUGCGCGAAAGCGUGAGAAAGGGAUCUAAAGUGUUUUUCUUUUUAGAAAAACUUUUGUCUUGUGUAAAAAGCAAGACGAAUAAGGGCUGGGCAAGACUGGUGCCAGCCGCCGCGGUAAUACCAGCGGCUCAAGUGGCAGUCAUUUUUAUUGGGUCUAAAACAUCCGUAGCUUGUUCUUUAAGUUUCAUGUAAAAUCGUUGUUCUUAAGACAAUGGCUGCAUGAAAUACUGAAGAACUAGGGACUGGGAGACGUAAUGAGUACUGCUAAGGUAGUGGUAAAAUAUUUUAAUCUUAGCUGGACUAACAACAGCGAAGGCACAUUACGAGAACAGAUCCGACGGUGAGGAAUGAAGGCCAGGGGCGCAAAACGGAUUAGAUACCCCAGUAGUC